GCAAUGGUUCAAGAAGCCAUCUGUAUGUGUCACCAUACAUUUUCGUAAACACCAUACAGUAUCCUCCUCAUCUGUGUAAUUAAUAUUGAACAUCACUGGCCGGGGCAGAUCCAUCUACGAAAGACCUAAAAAAAUUGUUACUACAUUUCGGUAAAUAGAUCUUCUCUGCAUGCUGACAUCAAAUUAUGGCUCGAUGUGGCUUUUGUGCUUUACAUCUUUAUAAAACAGGUAGUUCUAAGAUCACUAGCCACUCUGGGUACAAUUUUCUGUAAAGAAGUUCUGAAUGUGUUUAUUUUUGGAUCGUAUGGUGAAAUUUUACACAACAUGUGUGGAAAGAGACACUGAUUUAUUAUUAAUUUACAUCGUGAGAUGGCGAGGUCUUGUACAACACUAACUAGCAACCGCGUCGCUGCAAAAACGGCUUCGCCUGCUUCAAUAUGAAAAAUUCGCUGACUCAAGAACAUGGCGUUGCAUUAAGCGACGUUGCCACAUAAAUUACUUAAAUUGUCCUUUUUUCAACACUGGAAGGGAUCUUUUUACCCUUGUCAAUGAUUACUGCCGUCGCUCUGCUGAUAUUCUUAAACCCACGGUUUUAAGAAUUUUUUUUCAUUUUUUUCCUCUCUUCUUACUGUCGCACAAGAUGGUUUCAAAAUUUCCAAGCUGGUCAAAUACUUCAAUCAUGACUUCUUUAACUCGAAUAUAUGUGUAAGUCAUACUAAGUAAGAAUUCAUCUCCGAAUAUCUCUUUCUAACAGACCUAUUUUUACCGUUGCAGAAGCCGCAUCAUUAUCACAUUUUCCCCCUCAAAAAACCUGCUUAGUUAUGGAAUAUGUGUUGUCUUUUUUCAUUCAUUAUUGAUAUGAAUUUAUUUUUUAUUUAUUUAUUUACAAUUGGCAAGCAAAACCCCUUUACACCAAAAAAAGUUAAUUGCAACAUUACAAUAAAACAGCAAAUAGAAUUGCAGCAUUACAGCAAAAUAAAUUAACUUAAUAAAUGAGAUCGGAAGAAUUUACCAUGCCUUCAUGCUGUAUUUCACACAGCGUCAAUUUCUGCCAGAAGAAAGGUAAACGUUACUAUAUACUGAUACAGGUAACCAUUCCUCCGGCAGAAUCGACUUCAAGAUUGGUAGAAUUGUCCAUUUCUUCACGCUGUGUGAAUUACAGCGUGAAGGAAUGGUAA
rnacentral:lncRNA from 1 species